AAUCACACUACGAUCCCAGCGCGAUCCUCCAGCGUGAUUCGCCAGCCUGGAGCAUGCCGCCGUGAGGCUGUGAGGUUUACUGCACACCUGUGGGACAGGGGGAGUAAGGAGAUCCGGCCUGCUCCUGGACUCCGCCCCCUCUCAGGUGCAGGAGCAGACUCCGCCCCCGCCUCAGACUUCAGAUGCCCAGUGAAGACCUGACUGUUAAUUCUGAGCUACAUGGGCCCCCAACAAGCCGUCCCUCUGCAGGUUUACAGUAAACAGCACUUAGACCUGAGAAAUCCCAC